CGGAAAUGGAAAAUCGCUCCAAAGAGGGUGACGAGGCCCGUAACCAAAAACUCGACAACGCCUAGGGAUUCCCAGAGUAACACGAUCCACGUGGCAUUUCGUGUGAAUACGUGCCGACCACGGCAUAAGGCUAAAUACUCGCUAGUGACCGACAGUGAACAAGUACCGCGAGGGAAAGGUGAAAAGAACCGCCGUGAGCGGAGUGAAAUAGUACCUGAAAACCACAUACCUACAAGGUGUCAGAGCCGGCUUGUCCGGUGAUGGCGUGCCUUUUGCAAAAUGAGUCUGCGAGUCAGUCUGUGUGGCAAGCCUAAGCCCUUCUGGGGUGGAGGCGGAGCGAAAGCGAGUCCGAACAGGGCAAUAAGUCGCACGGGCUGAACCCGAAGCGGUGGCGAUCUACCCAUGGCCAGGUUGAAGCGUUGGUAAUACGACGUGGAGGACCGAACUGGUGAACCUUGAGACGUUCUCGGAUGAGCUGUGGGUAGGAGUGAAAGGCUAAUCAAGCCCCCGUAAUAGCUGGUUCUCCCCGAAAUGUAUUUAGGUGCA
rnacentral:rRNA from 1 species